ACGCUCGACACCUACGGGCAGCAGUGGGGAAUAUUGCACAAUGGGGGAAACCCUGAUGCAGCGACGCCGCGUGAGCGAAGAAGUAUUUCGGUAUGUAAAGCUCUAUCAGCAGGGAAGAAGAAAGACGGUACCUGACUAAGAAGCCCCGGCUAACUACGUGCCAGCAGCCGCGGUAAUCUGAGCGGGCUGGCAAGGC
rnacentral:rRNA from 1 species